GACGGAGGGGGCAAGCGUUGUUCGGAAUUACUGGGCGUAAAGCGCGUGUAGGCGGCUGGCUAAGUCUGAUGUGAAAGCCCGGGGCUCACCCCCGGAAGUGCAUUGGAAACUGGCCAGCUCGAGUCCCGGAGAGGAGGGUGGAAUUCCUGGUGUAGCGGUGAAAUGCGUAGCUAUCAGGAGGAACACCGGUGGCGAAGGCGGCCCUCUGGACGGUGACUGACGCUGGGACGCGAAAGCGUGGGGAGCAAACAGG
rnacentral:rRNA from 1 species